rnacentral:rRNA from 1 species
AGUGAACGCUGGCCGUAGGCCUAACACAUGCAAGUCGAACGGCAGCACAGUAAGAGCUUGCUCUUACGGGUGGCGAGUGGCGGACGGGUGAGGAAUACAUCGGAAUCUACUUUUUCGUGGGGGAUAACGUAGGGAAACUUACGCUAAUACCGCAUACGACCUACGGGUGAAAGCAGGGGAUCUUCGGACCUUGCGCGAUUGAAUGAGCCGAUGUCGGACUAGCUAGUUGGCGGGGUAAAGGCCCACCAAGGCGACGAUCCGUAGCUGGUCUGAGAGGAUGAUCAGCCACACUGGAACUGAGACACGGUCCAGACCCCUACGGGAGGCAGCAGUGGGGAAUAUUGGACAAUGGGCGCAAGCCUGAUCCAGCCAUACCGCGUGGGUGAAGAAGGCCUUCGGGUUGUAAAGCCCUUUUGUUGGGAAAGAAAAGCAGCAGGUUAAUACCCCGCUGUUCUGACGGUACCCAAAGAAUAAGCACCGGCUAACUUCGUG